AUGGUGACACUAUAUACAAUGGAUUGAGUUAGGAGUACAUUAUAUUUUAGCGGAAUAUUAAGUCUGUGCAAUACGCAAAUAGUAGUGUUAUUUGUUUAGAAUACAAAUAUACAUAUAUACAUGAAUAUGUUUGAAAAUGUUUUGAUUAGAAAUCUGUAUUUGGAUAUAUUAAUACUAACAAUUAAAUGGAUUAUACUGAAAGAAUUGCGGAUAUAUAGAGUUAUAGGUUUUGGAAACAAAAGAAACUCCUGCAAACAUUUUUGAGCCAAGAAGUUACAUGGUGAGAGGAUGUAUAUUUGCGAUUUGUCAAGAAAUUACCUUGAGAGUCUACCUUUUAAAUUCUUUCUUAUGGAUUUAUUGUUCUAGGGUAUAUUUGGAUAUAUAUCGUUCUUUGGAAAAUAUUUUAUGUGUUGUGUAAAAAUGGGAUGGAAUAUUGUUAUAUCUAAUAUUUCUGUGAAUUCUAAUGUGUUGGAAUAUAUUUUUCAUUGUUUUUGUUUAUGUGUUUAAAAAUUGGAUGGAAUAUUGUGUACACCCAAUAUUCCUAGUGAAUUCUACAUUUGGAUUAAUUAAUAUGUAUUCACAAAAUUGGAUUUAAAGUGUUCUAAUUAUUCUAAAAUUUUCCUUUAAAAUGUCCUUUGCUUACAUAUAAGAAAUAUUCGAAAUCUGUGUUUGGAUAUAUCAACACUAAUCAUCAAAUAUAUUAUGCUGAAAGAAAUGCGGAUAUGUGGAGUUAUAGGUGUUCUAGGUAUUGAAGUUAUACUUUUGUAAACAAUACGGUUCCAUUAAAUUACAAUUAUCAACUGAUUGCGCUUCUAGCAGUAUUCUGAGACCACUGGGCUAUGAAACCAAGGCAAUUCUACUUCUUGUGAAAGCAUGGGUUUUAUAAAAGCUCAAAUUGUCGUGUGUUUUGUGUAGUUGACUACUUAGAAUCAGGAAAUAUCAAAUAUCUCGCUGCGUUGUCAACCGAUUACGCUUCCAGGAUUAUUUUGAAACCACUUGGCUAUCAAAUGACAGUAUUUUUACUUCUCAUGAAAACAGCUUUGAUAUACAGAAAGGAAAUAGCAUUCAUUCUGCGAAAGAUGAGGGCUCACUAUUCGACAGUUUAGCUCACAAAACACCUUCCGCGUUGGACACCUUGAAAAAUAUUUCUACUGUUACCUGUUUACCUGAAAGAAUGGCCAAACCUCAGCAGCAAGAUCCCGAUAUGUCUGCUGGUUUUAAACGCCUUAAGUCUGACAACAAGAGAUCAUCAAGAGACAUUUUUGCGGGCUAUUCUGCUCUUGCUGUGAGAAAUACAUGGCCAAGACUUUUAACAAAGGAGAUAUAACUAUUGCUUCAUGACUCAAAUACUGGUGCUCUAUCGAGUGGACAUUGUCAUGGCUAAAACAGAAAUUUACAAAGUAUAAAAUGAAAGACAGUGUGAAACGUAUCAUUAAGACUUGUAUGUAAAUAUGGAUUAGUUAACAUCCUGUUAAAAAAAGAAACAAAAACAACAUUGGUAUCUAAAAAGGAUCUUACUAAGUUACCACAAAAAAUAGUGACAUUUUACUGGAAAUUCAAGUUUCUCAGAAUACUAAAACAAGGACUGCGUAUCAUGACUGCUUUAAACGAUUCCGUUGGAAAUAUGUGCCAGAUUGGUGUAUAAGGGACAGAGUUAACAGGCAAAUUCUACAGGGUCUGUUACUAAUAAACAGACAGACAGACAUGUAUUUGCCCCAUAAGAGUUUAAAGCAUAAGAUCCAACAUAAAAACAGUACUAGCACUGGGAAGCUUUUAAUAGGUAACUGGUCGAGGUCAAUUUCUGACAAUAGGUUUUGGGAACAACAACCCAGCAAACAUUUUUCAGACAUUUUGAAGGGAUUUCAUGAUGAGAGGAUGUAAAUUUGUGUUUUUUAAGAAGUUAUCUUGAAAGUCUACUUUUUAAACUCUUUCUUGUGAAUUAAGUUUCCUAGGGCAUACUUGGAUAUAUAUCAUUAAGUUGGAAUAUAUAUCUUGUGUGUUGCAAAAACUUGGAUGAAAUACUACGUUACACCCAAUAUUCCUGUGAGUUCUAACGUGUUGGAAUAUAUUAUUCAUUACUUUUGUUUACGUAUUUAAAAUUGGAUGGAAUAUGGUUUACACCAAAUAUUCCCAGUGAGUUUCACUUUGGAGUAAUUAAUGAGUAUUCACAAAAUUGGAUUAAAAGUGUUUUAGUUAUUCUGAAAUUUUUCUUUUAGAUAUCAUUUGAAAAUAUUUUUGAAAUAUAAAAUACUGUGCCAAAUAAAUGUACGAAUUCUAAAAAUUGUGAAUUGUUAAAUUUAAAUGCUGAUAUAAUUGAAAUAGAAAAAAAUGACACUAAGAGUAAGAGUGGUAUGUCAAAAUAGAUUUUACAUUAAUGCACGUGCUCAAAGUAUUGGAGAGAUACUAUAUAUUUAUAUAAUGAUGACAAACAGGUGAAAUAUUGAGAAGAUUUAUCAACAGACGGCUCCUUUAAUUUUGUAUUGAAGACAAACUAAUAAAAUUAUGAGAGACAUUUUAAAAGAAUGGAUACUUUAUUGCCUGUGCUCGAGUGAGUGAGUGAAUUGGGUUUUACGGCGAUUUGACACAAAAUGGUCAUGUAUCACCGAGAAGAAGUCAUAUUGCAAACGCCAACUGUAAAGCAUAAAGACUGAUGUAAAAAUGUAAAGCAUACCUAAAACAUACAUGUAAAAAUGUAAAGAACACUAUGAAUAAUGUAAACACAUAUCUAAAAACAUCCAUGUAAAAAUGUAAAGCAUAUCAAAAAUCAGUUAUGUAAAAUUGUAUAUACGUGUGUGUUAAAAUAUCAGCUGCAAACAUAAUAAGAAUUAAA